UGGGGAAUUUUGGACAAUGGGCGCAAGCCUGAUCCAGCAAUGCCGCGUGCAGGAAGAAGGCCUUCGGGUUGUAAACUGCUUUUGUACGGAACGAAAAGGCUCUGGUUAAUACCUGGGGCUCAUGACGGUACCGUAAGAAUAAGCACCGGCUAACUACGUGCCAGCAGCCGCGGUAAUACGUAGGGUGCGAGCGUUAAUCGGAAUUACUGGGCGUAAAGCGUGCGCAGGCGGUUUUGUAAGACAGUCGUGAAAUCCCCGGGCUCAACCUGGGAAUGGCGAUUGUGACUGCAAGGCUGGAGUGCGGCAGAGGGGGAUGGAAUUCCGCGUGUAGCAGUGAAAUGCGUAGAUAUGCGGAGGAACACCGAUGGCGAAGGCAAUCCCCUGGGCCUGCACUGACGCUCAUGCACGAAAGCGUGGGGAGCAAACA
rnacentral:rRNA from 1 species